rnacentral:misc_RNA from 1 species
CAAGUGAGGCUACCGAACGCUGGAAACAGUGGUUAGGGGCUUACACCCACCCGUGUUUACAUACUAUUGUUGCUUUGGCGGGUCGUGGCCUCCACUACGGGCUCUGCUCGUGUGUGCCCGCCAGAGGACCAAACUCUGAAUGUUAGUGAUGUCUGAGUACUAUCUAAUAGUUA